rnacentral:tRNA from 1 species
AGAUAUGUAGCUCAGUAGUAAAGUGCCCACUUAGCAUGUGAGAAGCUCUGGGUUCAAACCCCAGUAUUUCCA